CUUCAUUUAAGCGAAUUCUGCGAGUAGAUUUCGGCAUCCACACGAGGAAAUUUUCCUCCCAAGCAACUCUGUACGUCCCAGUCCGCCGGGAGGGAAUACCCUACCCCGUUGUCGUCCCAGAAAGACGAACGGCAUUUUCUUUCACCUGCUGUUGAAAGGACUCCUUUGCGAAACCGGGCGUAUGGUAGCUAUGGCCAGAACUAUCGUAGGGGGAGUAGUCUUCUUUGAGACAGAAUUCCUUCGCGGCUUUUUCUGGGCAGCAGGUACUCGUGUCGCACCUCUUGACGUAAAGAAGCGACUACCAAAGAGAAUGUUAGGGUAUUUGUGCAGCUUGUACACUCCACUUGUUGGCGCUUUUUCGAACUAACAUGCGCUGGCGAUCGCUGCAACUCAGGAGAAGACGUUGCCACAGGUGACUGCACCCUCGGGUUGUGUGGGACUUUGUUGAAUCGCGCUCUCUGAGUUUUCCGUCUUGCAGAGUUUGAAAAAAAGAGCUCUUUUACCACGAGAGAAUUAGCCGUAGAGGAUCAAAAGUACGUCUUUUGAGAGUCACCCGGAGGUGCCGCUCCGUGCUCAAAACCUUUUUCUCUCCAUUUCGCUCCGUCCGCCAGGCCUCGAUGCCCCGGUUUCUCGUUGAGAUCUUUGCAGAAACAGCUGAAGAAUGCCUACUCGUAAAAACAGUGGAGGACUUAACACAAGGUUCUGUACAAAAUUCCAGAUUCUCCUUUCGCCAAUUAUGUGUUCUCUGGACGCCACGUCUCCGCCGUGAAACAGAGACUGGCUCAACGGCGC
rnacentral:lncRNA from 1 species